UGUGGCAAGGCCAGCGAGCCGCUGUGGAGGUCAGUGUUCCUGUUGCCUUCCUGUCUGUGGGAGACGGCUGAGCAGAUCUGGAUUGGAAUCUCUGAUGCAGGGCGGUGGAAACGUGAACACCCCAUGGAUCACUGUUCCCUUUCUUUUGGUGGCUGUGUGACACACAUCACAGUUUCCUCAAAGGUUUUCUUCUGACAUUGGAUUUUUCCAACAGAACUGAGCGGUAGGACCGUAGGACCCGACUACUUGGCUGUGAUGACGUGUACAGGACAAUAUCAAAGUCUCUGGGCCUAUCAAGUGAGGAUAGAGGCGGGACUUCAUUGAGCGUCGUCGACUGUUCCCGGUUGUCUGGUGCUCUUCCUCGUCAUCUUCCUCCUCCUCAGCGCUGGAUGUGUUGCCAUUGACCUCAGAGUCCAGAUCAUUUCUGUUGGGCUCGGGGAAGCUGUCAUUCAGGUACUCAAUUUCCUCUACACAAGGUGGCUCAUCAUCCUCGAAGCAGCUGGAGAGAGAAGAGCAUAGGAGAGGAGAGGAGAGCAGAAGAGAAGAGAAGAGAGGAGAGCAGAGGAAAGAGGCCAAUGUCAGGGCCGCUGUGGCCAAGGGUUACGUGUCUGCCCUGUUGAAGCUGUAUGAGGACUGGCACAACAAGGACCCGGACCAUGAGACCAUCCCCAUCCGCCUGGCCCUGCUCCAUUGCCUGCACCAGACAGACCCACUGCAAUGUCUACACUGUUUUUCUGAUCGAUUUUAUGUUAUUUUAAUGGACACAUUAUUAUUUUUUCUUUCAAAAACAAGGACAUUUCUAAGUGACCCCGAACUUUUGAACGAUAGUGACAGUUUUUAUGUCCCGUUGGUAGGAUAUUGUCACGUUCCUGACCUGUUUCUGUUAGUUUUUGUAUGUGUUAGUUGGUCAGGACGUGAGUUUGGGUGGGCAGUCUAUGUUUUCUGUUUCUAUGUUUGUUUAAGGGUGACCUAAUAUGGCUCUCAAUUAGAGGCAGGUGGUUUUCAUUUCCUCUGAUUGAGAGUCAUAUUAAGGUAGGUGUUUUCACACUGUUUGUUGUGGGUGGUUGUUUCCUGUGUCAGUGUUUGUUGCACCAUACGGGACUGUUUCGUUCGUUCUUCGUUUUAUGUAGUCAUUUUUCCUGUUGUGCGUUCUUCGUGUUUUAUGUAAGUUCGUAUGUUCAGGUUUGUCUACAUUCGUUUUGUUAUUUUGUAAGUAUUCAAGUGAAGUUCGUGUUUUUCGUCUACACUUAAAUAAAUUUCAUUAUGUCUAAAUACAACGCUGCAGUUUGGUUCAAUCCCUGCUCCCCCUCUUCGGAUGAGGAGGAACGCCGUUACAGAACCACCCACCGAUCCAGAACCAAGCAGCGUGAGUUCGAGCAGUGGACAUGGGAGGACGUGUUAAAUGGAAAAGGUUGCUACACAUGGGAGGAGAUCCGAGCUGGAAGAGAUCGCCUUCCAUGGGAACAGCUGGAGGCGAUUAGGAGAGCGGAGGCAACGGGAGAGAGAGAGACCGGAUUUAUGAAGGUACGCGGCUAGCACGGAAGCCCGUGAAGAAACCCCAAAAAUUUCUUGGAGGGGGGGGGGCUAAGAGGUAGUGGGCCAAGGGCAGGUAGGAGACCUGCGCCCAGUUCCCAGGCUAACCGUGGAGAGCGGGAGUACGGACAGACGCCGUGUUACGCAGUAGAGCGCACGGUGUCUCCUGUACGUGUGCAUAGCCCGGUGCGGGUUAUUCCACCUCCCCGCACUGGUAGGGCUAGAGUGGGCAUUGAGCCAGGUGCCAUGAUGCCGGCUCAACGCGUCUGGUCUCCAGUGCGUCUCCUCGGGCCGGCAUACAUGGCACCAGCCUUACGCAUGUUGUCCCCGGUUCGCCUACAUAGCCCGGUGCGGGUUAUUCCACCUCCCCGCACUGGUCGGGCGACGGGGAGCAUUCAACCAGGUAAGGUUGGGCAGGCUCAAUGCUCAAGGGAGCCAGUACGCUUGCACGGUCCGGUAUUUCCGGCGCUACCUCCCCACCCCAGCCCAGUACCACCAGUGCCAACACCACGCACCAGGCUUCCAGUGCGUUUUCAGAGCCCUGUUCCUCCUCCACGCACUCUUCCUAUGGUGCGUGUCUCCAGCCCAGUGCCUCCAGUUCCGGCACCACGCACUAAGCCACCUGUGCGUCUCCAGAGCCCUGUACACACUGUUCCUUCUCCCCGUACUCGUCCUGAUGUGCGUGCCCUCAGUCCGGUGCCACCAGUGGCGGUACCACGCACCAGGCAAAUAGUACGCUUUGAGAAUCCAGUGUGACCUGUCCCUGCUCCCCGCACUAGCAUGAAGGUGCGUGUCCUUAGCCCGGUGCCUCCAGUUCCGGCACCACGCACCAGGUCUACAGUGCGUCUCAUCCGGCCAGAGCCAUCCGUCUCCCCAGUGCCGUCUGAGCCAUCCGUCUGCCCAGUGCCGUCUGAGCCAUCCGUCUGCCCAGUGCCGUCUGAGCCAUCCGUCUGUCCCGAGCCAUUAGAGCCGCCCGUCUGUCCCGAGCCGUCAGAGCCGUUAGUCAGUCAGGAGCCGCUAGAGCCAUUCGUCAGUCAGGAUCUGCCAGAGCCGCCAACCAGACAGGAUCUGCCAGAGCAGCCAACCAGACAGGAUCUGCCAGAGCCGCCAACCAGACAGGAUCUGCCAGAGCCGCCAGCGAGCCAUGAGCGUCCAGAGCCGUCAGCCAGCCAUGAGCGUCCAGAGCCGUCAGCCAGCCAUGAGCGUCCAGAGCCGUCAGCCAGCCAUGAGCAGCCAGAGCCAUCAGCCAGCCAUGAGCAGCCAGAGCCGUCAGCCAGCCAUGAGCGUCCAGAGCCGUCAGCUAGUCAUGAGCGUCCAGAGCUGCCAUGUAUCCAGAACUGCCCCUCAGUCCAGAGCUGGCUCUCUGUCCGGAGCUGCCCUUCAGUCCGGAGUUGCCCCUCUAUCCUGAGCUACCUCUCUAUCCUGAGCUACCUCUCUAUCUUGAGCUACCUCUCUAUUCUGAGCUACCUUGUCCCGGAGCUGUCCCUUAUUUUUGUGUUGCCUCUUAUAUUAGGUGGGUGGAAUAGGAGGGUGGUCAUUCUGAGGGGGAGAAGUAAGCUGGGAUUGACUAUGGUGGGGUGGGGACCUCGUCCAGAGCCUGAGCCACCACCGUGGUCAGAUGCCCACCCAGACCCUCCCCUAAACUUUGUGCUGGUGCGCCCGGAGUUCGCA